UGGGGAAUAUUGGACAAUGGGCGGAAGCCUGAUCCAGCAACGCCGCGUGAGGGAUGACGGCCUUCGGGUUGUAAACCUCUUUCAGCACCGGCGAAGCGCCCGUAAGGGUGGUGACGGUAGGUGCAGAAGAAGGACCGGCCAACUACGUGCCAGCAGCCGCGGUAAUACGUAGGGUCCGAGCGUUGUCCGGAAUUAUUGGGCGUAAAGGGCUCGUAGGCGGUUUGUCGCGUCGGGAGUGAAAUCACCGGGCUUAACUCGGUGCUUGCUUUCGAUACGGGCAGACUGGAGGCAUGCAGGGGAGAACGGAAUUCCUGGUGUAGCGGUGAAAUGCGCAGAUAUCAGGAGGAACACCGGUGGCGAAGGCGGUUCUCUGGGCAUGUCCUGACGCUGAGGAGCGAAAGUGUGGGGAGCGAACAGG
rnacentral:rRNA from 1 species